CGGACCUUCGAGUUUGACGACGGCCAAUGCGCCCCCAGUGUCCUGGGAUGCCAUGCGUCUGCCGCCCACCUAGUGACCAGUGCAGAGGCGCGGACCAGCGACCAGCA
rnacentral:sRNA from 1 species